rnacentral:tRNA from 1 species
GCACCCUUGGCCCAGCUGGAUAAGGCGUCUGACUACGGAUCAGAAGAUCGGGAGUUCGAAUCUCUCAGGGUGCGCCA